rnacentral:rRNA from 1 species
CCUACGGGGGGCAGCAGUGGGGAAUAUUGGACAAUGGGCGAAAGCCUGAUCCAGCCAUGCCGCGUGUGUGAAGAAGGCCUUCGGGUUGUAAAGCACUUUCAGUGGGGAAGAAAGCCUUGGGGCUAAUACCCUCGAGGAAGGACAUCACCCACAGAAGAAGCACCGGCUAACUCCGUGCCAGCAGCCGCGGUAAUACGGAGGGUGCGAGCGUUAAUCGGAAUUACUGGGCGUAAAGCGCGCGUAGGCGGUCUGAUAAGCCGGUUGUGAAAGCCCCGGGCUCAACCUGGGAACGGCAUCCGGAACUGUCAGGCUAGAGUGCAGGAGAGGAAGGUAGAAUUCCCGGUGGAGCGGUGAAAUGCGUAGAGAUCGGGAGGAAUACCAGUGGCGAAGGCGGCCUUCUGGACUGACACUGACGCUGAGGUGCGAAAGCGUGGGUAGCAAACAGGAUUAGAUACCCUAGUAGUC